rnacentral:rRNA from 1 species
CCUACGGGCGGCAGCAGUGGGGGAUAUUGCACAAUGGGGGAAACCCUGAUGCAGCGACGCCGCGUGGGUGAAGAAGCGCCUCGGCGCGUAAAGCCCUGUCAGCAGGGAAGAAAAUGACGGUACCUGAAGAAGAAGCCACGGCUAACUACGUGCCAGCAGCCGCGGUAAUACGUAGGGGGCAAGCGUUAUCCGGAUUUACUGGGUGUAAAGGGGGCGCAGACGGCGAUGCAAGCCAGGAGGGAAAGCCCGGGGCCCAACCACGGGACUGCGCUUGGAACUGGGUGGCUAGAGUGCAGGAGGGGCAGGCGGAAUUCCUGGUGUAGCGGUGAAAUGCGUAGAUAUCAGGAGGAACACCGGUGGCGAAGGCGGCCUGCUGGACUGCAACUGACGUUGAGGCCCGAAAGCGUGGGGAGCAAACAGGAUUAGAUACCCUAGUAGUC